GAUGAGAGGAGCAACUCUACUGAAGCUUUCCUGCAUGCUUUUAACAUUAUUUUUGCUUUGGCUUUGACUGGAAGAUCUAACGUGCGCUCUUGUGGAUGCGGCACAAAGGCCAAACAACAGGAGUGAAAUGCAAUCAGUUUCAUUGAGCGGCUCAUUCAGCCCCAGACAGACAGGAAUGAUACCGGGCCCCAAGCGCUUCACGAGGACGAUCACUAUCCCGAGUCUCCUAGCUCCUGCAAUGAAGGUUACCAGGAAAAGGCCAGAACAGGAUUUAAGCUGAGUCACCGGAUCCUGAGGAUUAUUCUGCACCGCCGUCAUGUUCAGUGAACCCCCCAUGAUUCACUCGCGUCCCAUCAGCCCAAACCGUCCUGCGGGUUUCACUCAUUCACAUCGCUGCACACAAAACAUCACAGAAGGAGACUGAUGGCAAUGCUUUGCAUUUGAGGACUGCUAUAAACAUCAAAUAAAUGGGACUGAAACGAGCAUCUGAAGUUCUGCUGUCACACUGAGAG